rnacentral:tRNA from 1 species
GGGGGUAUAGCUCAUUGGUAGAGCUCUUACCUAGCAUGUGCCAGGCCCUGGGUUUGACUUCCCAGUACCAUCU